GACGACACAUCUAGCAGCUCUGAAGAAGACGGCUCCUCGGGGUCUACAUCCAGCAGCCUCGAUUUCAGCUACCAGAAAGAAGUGGAGACCAGCAGCGGUGAGGAGCUGGAGGAGGUGAAAAGCGAAAAGAGGUCCGCCCCAAAAAAGUAGGGAGGGAGACAGAGAAUGAGGUUUUUGUCACCUCCCUUAAAGAGAGGAAGUAUGUAUGGCAAUAAAUUAGGUAUCAGUGCCUUCUAUUUUCAAUAUACA